GCAAUAUAAAUAUUUAAAUAGAUUAAAAAUGUUUAGAAUAAAUAUUCGUAAAGAAUUAAUAUAUAGAGGUCAAUUUUGCAGAUCGAUGCAUAAGCCAAGUCACGAGCAUGUUAGUAACGAUGAGAUUAUGUCUCCCGCCAAUGGAUAAAUAGAAACGAACGUAACACAAAAUAGGUUAAGGAGAAAUGUAGAAUAAUUAUUGGAAUAAUAUGGAAGGCUUCGAUGAUCGAUGCGCUAUGUCAGCAAUAGAUAUCGAGAGCAUGAAUAAGAUCGAUAAAUAUAGAACAAUGACGAUAUAAAGAGAUACGUACGAAUAAAAAUGAAUGGGAAUAAAUAACGAGGAUCUCGGCGUACAGGAACAUCAAAAUCAAUAUUUCUACGCAUUUUAUUAGCCAAUAUAAGACGAUGGACAUAUUCUGUAUCCCUAAUAUCUUCUGAUGUAUCAAAUGCUCGUUUAACAUAAUUUUUAUUUGAUACUGGCAUAUAUACCGGAUAUUCAAUGUUAAAGGUUAUAAUUAGAUCUCCUUUUCCUUUUGGAUUUUCUGGUAAUGGCAAUCCUUCUCCAAGAUUUAUUAUGUUAAACGUAAAAUAAUUAUUCAUAAUUAUAAACAAACAAGGAAGGAAAGUGAAAUGGAUUGGAAAUGGAGAUGGUGGCACGUACGUGAUGACAGACGUUAGUGGUAUUCGAAGGGUUCUGUCGUCGAG